rnacentral:misc_RNA from 1 species
GCGCAAUUUCUCUCUCUCCAUGUCCAGAAAGAAUCAGAUUCAGAGUGAUCAUGGCAUCACUAGCUUCUUCCAUUUCCAAAGCCCUAACGAAAAGGGUCAGUGCUAAUGUUGUUGUUGGGCCCAUUUCUACCCUGCCAAAACAUUGGGCUCUUUCAUCUUCCUUGCUUUGUACCUUAGCCGCUGCCGUCUCCACCUCCCCU